rnacentral:rRNA from 1 species
CUGGUUGAUCCUGCCUGAACUGAUGUGCUUAUCUCAAAGAUUAAGCCAUGCAUGUCUAAGUAUAAACGAUUGAAUCGUGAAACCGCGAAUGGCUCAUUAUAACAGCUAUAAUUUACUUGAUCUUGACACAAUCCUACUUGGAUAACUGUGGUAAUUCUAGAGCUAAUACAUGCAUUAAAGCUCUGACCUCACGGGAAGAGUGCAUUUAUUAGAACAAAACCAAGCGGCUUCGGCUGUUUCUGGUUGACUCAUAGUAACUGAGCUGAUCGCAUGGUCUUGCACCGGCGACGUGUCUUUCAAGUAUCUGCCGUAUCAACUUUCGAUGGUAGUGUAUCUGACUACCAUGGUGAUCACGCGUAACGGAGAAUAAGGGUUCGGCUCCGGAGAGUUCGCCUGAGAAAUCGCGAACACAUCUAAGGAAGGCAGCAGGCGCGAAAAUUACCCACUCUCAGCACGAGGAGGUAGUGACGAAAAAUAACGAGACCGUUCUCUUAUGAGGCCGGUCAUCGGAAUGGGUACAAUUUAAACCCUUUAACGAGUAUCUAUGAGUGGGCAAGUCUGGU